rnacentral:rRNA from 1 species
CUCCUACGGGAGGCAGCAGUGGGGAAUAUUGGGCAAUGGGCGAAAGCCUGACCCAGCGACGCCGCGUGAGGGAAGAAGGUCUUCGGAUUGUAAACCUUUGUUGACAGGGAAGAAGAAAGUGACGGUACCUGUAAAGAAAGCCACGGCUAACUACGUGCCAGCAGCCGCGGUAAUA